rnacentral:rRNA from 1 species
GGAAUAUUGGUCAAUGGACGAGAGUCUGAACCAGCCAAGUAGCGUGCAGGAUGACGGCCCUAUGGGUUGUAAACUGCUUUUAUACAGGGAUAAAGUGGGGAACGUGUUCCCUUUUGUAGGUACUGUAUGAAUAAGGACCGGCUAAUUCCGUGCCAGCAGCCGCGGUAAUACGGAAGGUCCGGGCGUUAUCCGGAUUUAUUGGGUUUAAAGGGAGCGCAGGCUGAAGAUUAAGCGUGACGUGAAAUGUCCCGGCUCAACCGUGGAACUGCGUCGCGAACUGGUUUUCUUGAGUGAGUACGACGUCAGCGGAAUUCGUGGUGUAGCGGUGAAAUGCUUAGAUAUCACGAAGAACCCCGAUUGCGAAGGCAGCUGACGAGUCCUUUACUGACGCUAAAGCUCGAAGGUGCGGGUAUCGAACA